rnacentral:misc_RNA from 1 species
CUUCCUCGUCCUAAGGCACGUGUUAGUGCAUUUAGUGUUUAUAAUCCUCCUAGUGGCCCAAAAAUUGGCUCUGCGUAUUCAAGGACAAUUCCAACUCAGGGUCCUCUGGUUCAAUCUUCAAAAACAGACUUUGGAGUCUGCAAAUUCCUUGAAGAUAUUCAUGUUGAUCCUAUGGUUCCUUUGCGAUGUGGGUAUGGUUGUUGUGCAACACCAAGUAGGGGCCAUCUUCAGAGCUCAUUGUUGGGGCCUGAGUUUGUUGAAUAUGAGGAGCUUCCCGCUUUCUCAAGUCAAGAAUUAAUUUCAAUUGCUACAGAUUUGAACAAUAUUGCAUGGAUCAAGAGAAGCCUUGAGAAUAAUAGCAGUGUGAUAUCAGGCAAUAAUGCAAGCUUUAGAAUGUCUCAAGGGGCUUCUGUUGGCUCACAAAUGGGAAUUCCAGAACAGAACUUAAGAAACGGGCAUAUGCCCUAUGAGGAGGGAACAAACAAAUUGAUGGGCAUGAUGACAGAUACCUUAUCAGCAUCUGCCUGUGCAACCUUUUGCAAUGCAAGCUGAAGUGGAGAGCUUGACCUGAACUU